GGAUAACUUACCCUUUAGGACUGGGAUAACUCUGGGAAACUGGGGAUAAUACCGGAUAUUAGGUGGUGCCUGCAAUGGUUUACCUUUGAAAUGUUUUUUGUAUUCGCCUAAGGAUAGAUCUGCGGCUGAUUAGGUCGUUGGUGGGGUAAUGGCCCACCAAGCCGAUGAUCGGUACGGGUUGUGAGAGCAAGGGCCCGGAGAUGGAACCUGAGACAAGGUUCCAGACCCUACGGGGUGCAGCAGGCGCGAAACCUCCGCAAUGUACGUAAGUGCGACGGGGGGAUCCCAAGUGUUAUGCUUAAUAGUAUAACUUUUCAUUAGUGUAAAAAGCUUUUAGAAUAAGAGCUGGGCAAGACCGGUGCCAGCCGCCGCGGUAAUACCGGCAGCUCGAGUGGUAGCUGUUUUUAUUGGGCCUAAAGCGUUCGUAGCCGGUUUGAUAAGUCUUUGGUGAAAGCUUGUAGCUUAACUAUAAGAAUUGCUGGAGAUACUAUCAGACUUGAAGUCGGGAGAGGUUAGAGGUACUACCGGGGUAGGGGUGAAAUCCUAUAAUCCUGGGAGGACCACCUGUGGCGAAGGCGUCUAACUAGAACGAUCUUGACGGUGAGUAACGAAAGCCAGGGGCGCGAACCGGAUUAGAUACCCGGGUAGUCCUGGCCGUAAACGAUGUGGACUUGGUGUUGGAAUGGCUUUGAGUUGUUCCAGUGCCGAAGGGAAGCUGUUAAGUCCACCGCCUGGGAAGUACGGUCGCAAGACUGAAACUUAA
rnacentral:rRNA from 1 species